GAUGAACGCUGGCGGCGUGCUUAACACAUGCAAGUCGAACGGAAAGGCCCUGCUUUUGUGGGGUGCUCGAGUGGCGAACGGGUGAGUAACACGUGAGUAACCUGCCCUUGACUUUGGGAUAACUUCAGGAAACUGGGGCUAAUACCGGAUAGGAGCUCCUGCUGCAUGGUGGGGGCUGGAAAGUUUCGGCGGUUGGGGAUGGACUCGCGGCUUAUCAGCUUGUUGGUGGGGUAGUGGCUUACCAAGGCUUUGACGGGUAGCCGGCCUGAGAGGGUGACCGGCCACAUUGGGACUGAGAUACGGCCCAGACUCCUACGGGAGGCAGCAGUGGGGAAUAUUGCACAAUGGGCGGAAGCCUGAUGCAGCAACGCCGCGUGCGGGAUGACGGCCUUCGGGUUGUAAACCGCUUUCGCCUGUGACGAAGCGUGAGUGACGGUAAUGGGUAAAGAAGCACCGGCUAACUACGUG
rnacentral:rRNA from 1 species